ACUGUAGCACUUAUGAAAUUGUAACAGAAUCAUCCACACCUUCUGCAGUCAUCUAUUUAUACUAAUAUUAUCUCACUGUGAGAUCUAUAGCAUCACUGUACAUCUACAAUUGAAAAUUCGUUUAUUGAAGAAGCGGGCCCGUGGGUGAAAUUGUAGUCAAACUAGUUCUCUGCUUCAAGAAUUUUUUGUAGCAAAAAAACAGCAUUAUACAACAAAAAUUGACGUCCGUUGUCUCUUGAAGCAGGAAACAAGCUCCCAAAUGAACAAAGAAGACGAAACAAGACAAUCAUAGCAGAUCAAUAGUCUUAGCGCCCAAAACAUUUCCCACGCCCGAAUUUGAAAUUUUUAGGAUUCUUAUUGGAAUUAAACAGUAAUAAACGAACUUACUUAAACUGCAUCGUUGUGAAUAAGUCUAUAUUUUUUACUAGAAGACACUACAUGCCUAAACUAAAAGUACAAAACAACGUGUGGAAGCUACCAUAAACGAAAAUUCAGACAAGCUAAUCGUAUAAGCAAGACUAAUGUUUAUAUAAUUUAUUAAUGAAGAUUUAUAAAUAUGCUAAUACUUUUCUAUUAAAGGUUAGCAUACGUUUCAAAUAAAAAAGUUCUGUGCAAUAGCAAUGUUCAGAUAAAUAAAAACUUCGCGUACUCGUCAAUGUAAAUACUCCGAGUGAGCUGGGUUUAACGAAGAAAAUCAUCAUGGUAAAAGGCUUGCUUUUAUUUGCAACUUAGGAUUCGACAUACCAUCAAUAUUAACCUAUUUAUAUUCAGACAAUGAAUGACUAAAUCUUAUGGUGUUGGUGGAGUUUACGAGGGCGCCGCCUAUUUAUACUAGUAAAUGGGAU